rnacentral:rRNA from 1 species
GCUGAGAGGUGGUGCAUGCCGUCGUCAGUUCGUACUGUGAAGCAUCCUGUUAAGUCAGGCAACGAGCGAGACCCACGCCCACAGUUGCCAGCGUACUCUCUGGAGUGACGGGUACACUGUGGGGACCGCCGCUGCUAAAGCGGAGGAAGGAAUGGGCAACGGUAGGUCAGUAUGCCCCGAAUAUCCCGGGCUACACGCGAGCUACAAUGGUUGGUACAAUGGGUAUCUACCCCGAAAGGGGACGGGAAUCUCCUAAAACCAAUCUUAGUUCGGAUUGAGGGCUGCAACUCGCCCUCAUGAAGCUGGAAUCCGUAGUAAUCGCGUUUCAACAGAACGCGGUGAAUACGUCCCUGCUCCUU